CCUACGGGUGGCAGCAGUGAGGAAUAUUGGUCAAUGGGCGAGAGCCUGAACCAGCGAAGCAGCGUGAAGGAUGACUGUCCUACGGGUUUAAAACUCUUUUUAUAGAGGAAUAAAGUGAGGCAGCUGUGCAUUAUUGUAUGUACUUUAUGUAUAAGGAUAGGACAACUCAGUGCCAGCAGCGGAGGUAAUACGGAGGAUGGGAGCGUUGUCCGGAUUUAGUGGGCUUAAAGGGAGCGUAGGUGGGUUGUUAAGUCAGUUGUGAAAGUUUGCGGCUCAACCGUACAAUUGCAAUUGAUACUGGCAGUCUUGAGUACAGGUGAGGUAGGCGGAAUUCGUGGUGUAGCGGUGAAAUGCGUAGAUAUCAGGAAGAACACCAGUUGCGAAGGCAGCUUACUAAACUGCCACUGACAUUGAGGCGCGAAAGUGUGGGUAUCAAACAGGAUUAGAUACCCCAGUAGUC
rnacentral:rRNA from 1 species